CUGCAGAAGCUGCUCAGGUCAACACCCACCCCAGCUGAGUUACUUAGUGGGGAGGAAAGAUGCACUCUAAUCAAAUCCCGGGAAAGACUUAAAAGAGUUUAGCAAGUUCUCACACUCAAGCUGCAUCCCAUUACCCUGGAGAGCUCAUUAAAGCACAGAGUUCUGGGCCCCUCCCUCGGAGUUUCUGAAUUUGCAUUUCUAACAAGUUCCCAGGUCCUGCUGCUGCCGGUGGGCCCAGAAGCUCACCUUGAAAAUCACUGGUGCUACAAAGGAGGACAAGAAGUAUGGUUACUGCCAUAGCAAGUUUUCCACCCCCAGGGCGAUCCCAGGUUCUAGAACAAACCUCAGCCUUGGCUGCUCCCUAACGAGGUGGUGUGGCUUGAGAAGCAGAGCUAAUCCCAGAGACAAUAGAGGAAGCUUUGUGAAGGGGAGAUCUCUGGGCUUGGAGACAUCAACACUCACCUUUUGCAGCCAGCCCCACCCUCCAUUCUGCAUAAGAGAGGCUUCCCACCAGGCUCCCCCGUCCCUGGGAUUCUCCAGCCAAGAACACUGGAGUGGGUUGCCAUUUCCUUCUCCAAUGCAUGAGAGUGAAAAGUGAAAGUGAAGUCGCUCAGUCGUGUCGGACUCUCAGCGACCCCACGGACUGUAGCCCACCAGGCUCCUCCAUCCAUGGGAUUUUCCAGGCAAAAGUACUGGAGUGGGGUGCCAUUGCCUUCUCCUGACACGGAGAUACACUUCGAUUCCUGCUGCAGCAAGAUCCCACAUGCCUCGGAGCAACUAAGACCGUGUACCACCACUAUUGAGCCUGUGCUCCAGAGCCCAGGAGCUGCAAACACUGAGCCCACGUGCCACAACUAGUGAAGCCCACGUGGCCUAGAGCCUGUGCUCCACAACGAGAGAAGUCACCACAGUGAGAAGCCCACACACCACAACUAGAAUAGCCCCCGUUCUCUGCAACCAGAGAAAAGCCCAUGCAGCAAUGAAGAUUCAGUACAGCCAAAA
ensembl:lncRNA